UAAGGAAUAUUGGGCAAUGGACGCAAGUCUGACCCAGCCAUGCCGCGUGCAGGAUGACGGACCUACGGUUUGUAAACUGCUUUUGUACGGGAAAAAACCCCAGAUUUCGUAUCUGGGCUGAUGGUACCGUAAGAAUAAGGAUCGGCUAACUCCGUGCCAGCAGCCGCGGUAAUACGGAGGAUCCAAGCGUUAUCCGGAUUCAUUGGGUUUAAAGGGUGCGAAGGCGGACUUAUAAGUCAGUGGUGAAAUCCUACGGCUCAACCGUAGAACUGCCAUUGAUACUGUAAGUCUUGAGUAUACUUGAAGUGGCUGGAAUGUAUCAUGUAGCGGUGAAAUGCUUAGAUAUGAUACAGAACACCGAUUGCGAAGGCAGGUCACUAAGUUAUAACUGACGCUCAUGCACGAAAGCGUGGGGAUCAAACAGG
rnacentral:rRNA from 1 species